rnacentral:rRNA from 1 species
AUUGAACGCUGGCGGCAGGCCUAACACAUGCAAGUCGAACGGUAACAGGAAGCAGCUUGCUGCUUCGCUGACGAGUGGCGGACGGGUGAGUAAUGUCUGGGAAGCUGCCUGAUGGAGGGGGAUAACUACUGGAAACGGUAGCUAAUACCGCAUAAUGUCGCAAGACCAAAGAGGGGGACCUUCGGGCCUCGUGCCAUCGGAUGUGCCCAGAUGGGAUUAGCUUGUUGGUGGGGUAACGGCUCACCAAGGCGACGAUCCCUAGCUGGUCUGAGAGGAUGACCAGCCACACGGGAACUGAGACACGGUCCAGACUCCUACGGGAGGCAGCAGUGGGGAAUAUUGCACAAUGGGCGCAAGCCUGAUGCAGCCAUGCCGCGUGUAUGAAGAAGGCCUUCGGGUUGUAAAGUACUUUCAGCGGGGAGGAAGGGAGUAAAGUUAAUACCUUUGCUGAUUGACGUUACCCGCAGAAGAAGCACCGGCUAACUCCGUG